CCCUUAGAUGUUCUGGGCCGUACGCGCGCUACACUGAUGCAUUCAACGAGUCUAAAACCUGCUCUGAUAGGGGUGGGUAAUCUUUUGAAUGUGCAUCGUGAUUGGGAUAGAUGAUUGAAAUUUUUCAUCUUCAACGAGGAAUGCCUAGUAAACGCAAGUCAUCAGCUUGCAUUGAUUACGUCCCUGCCCUUUGUACACACCGCCCGUCGCUCCUACCGAUUGAAUGAUCCGAUGAAUAUCAUGGAUUGAGGAUGCAAGUAGGUUCACCUAUCUUCAUCUUCGAGAAGUGAAGUAAAUCUUAUCAUUUAGAGGAAGGAGAAGUCGUAACA
rnacentral:rRNA from 1 species